GCUAUCAUCAUCACCACCACCACCACCAUCAUCACCACCAUCAUCACCAUCACCAUCAUCAUCAUCGCAGCAGCAGCAGCACAGGGCGGCAUAGAUCCCUAACUGGCCUUGCACUUUGUGUUGCUGAGGAUAAUUCCCGAUCCUCCCUUGUCUAUCUCCUGGGUCCUAAGAUCUCAGCUUCCCUCCCUCAGGUCCCCCAGGGUUGGUCAUCACUUCUCCAUUGCUUCUGCCCUCACAAGCCCAUACGGCCAUGCUGGUGAGAUGGCUCGCCCCAGGGAAAGGCACUCAAAGGCCGCUAAACCUUUUCCUGGGAAGCCACACGGAGAAGAAAAGAACCAGUUCCUGCAAGUUGCCCUCUGACCUCCAGAUGUGUGCUGACACAUGUGCACUCCCAUAAGUAAAUAAAUAUACU
ensembl:antisense Gm16224 predicted gene 16224